rnacentral:rRNA from 1 species
UACGGGGGGGGCAAGCGUUGUUCGGAAUUACUGGGCGCAAAGGGCUCGUAGGCGGCCAACUAAGUCAGACGUGAAAUCCCCAGGCUCAACCUGGGAACUGCGUCUGAUACUGGAUGGCUUGAAUUCGGGAGAGGGAUGCAGAAUUCCAGGUGUAGCGGUGAAAUGCGUAGAUAUCUGGAGGAAUACCGGUGGCGAAGGCGGCAUCCUGGACCGACAUUGACGCUGAGGAGCGAAAGCUAGGGGAGCAAACGGG